UAGGAAAGAGGGGGCUUUCCGAUAAGGAUUUCUCCUUACUGGCGCGCAAUUAGGUGACCAAACUCAUUUCCUAGACAAAACUUCUUUAGACAUUGCCAAUAAUCCUAUCUAAUAAUAUGAUUCAAAUAAUAUGAAUUAUGGAUAUGAUAAUGGGAAAUAAUGUGCAUUGACAAUUAUUGAAACAACAAUAAUAUAAAAUAAUGUGCAAUACUGUGUACUACUGUGUAACAACGCGUAUUACUUUACUUUAACCACCAGGUAGUUCAACAGUGUUAACGGUAACAACUACACCGUUAUUUUUAGAAAACUCAUUUAUGUCGUUUUCUUCAUUCGAAAAUUUUUCGUUACGGGGCCCACAAAUGGUUGCGUCGUCGUACGAAUAUUCUCCGACAACAAGAAUAUUCCACGACAAAACGAAUAUUCUCCGACAACAAUGAAUAUUUUAUAACCACUUGCUUAUUUUGAAAAUUUUACAUAUAUCACCCUUAACUUUAAACUUUUAUCAAUUUAACUAUUUACUAAAUAGAAAAAUUGAAUACUUUUAUUUCAUAAAAUUCGGGGUCUUACAUAGUGUUUGCAUAGUAAAAACUUUUUUAUAUAAAACAGAAUACUUUUUAUAAAGUUUUGUUUUAUUUGAUUAUAAAUAGAAUAUAUUAUAUUUUAUUGCAUAGUGCAGCAUAGUAUCCUUUCCAUUCUCCUAUAAAUAGGAUGCUUAGUUAGAAUUGAAAAUCACACCAGAAAUUCAGAGAAUUCUUCUUCUAUAAUCUUGAGCGUAUUUCUUUAGAGUUUAAGAAAGCUUUGAGCGUAGAAAAUAGUGCAAGUUUUCUUCAAGUAUAUCCCCGCCUUACCCAUCGGAAUACUCUUCUUUUUAAGGUAAGGGGUAUUAUUCUUUCGUAUUCAUGAAGAAAGUUAUUUUCUUUCAAUACUCGUAAGGGUUGUUAUUCCAUUCUUUAUUAUUCUGUUGGAAUAACAUGCCUGUGCGGUCUAUCGCAUACCUGAGGAAUUCUGUUGUUAUUUCAUUC
rnacentral:lncRNA from 1 species